AGUGUGAUCAUUUGGUCUUCAUGAUUAACUCAUAAAAAUCAUACGGCCCAGGCAUGUAUAAAUGUUGUCAGGACAGUAAAAUUUUAAUGAAAAAGGACUCACAAGUCACAAACCAUAGGCCCUAAAUGAUUUAAAUUUAAAGGAAUUUAAAAGUUUAUGACGGGUUUUUCCAAUUUUCAGGCAGUCAAGUGUUUCAUGAAGACUGUAUUUGUUCAGGGAAUGGGAUACAGCAAGUUCCCAAGUUCUUAGUUAAUGAACAGAGAAAAUUGUUGAGGAGCUCAUUGGGGGAAAAAAACAAAUUAACAAAGGAAAUGUACUUUUUCAAUAAGGAGAAGAAGUAAAAGCAGCAGGGAAAAUUGACAGAGUGAUACAUCUUCUAUGAAUAAAAAGAGGAAAUAAGUGUCUGCAGCAGUAAAUCAUUAUAACAACAAGACUGUGAAAAGAAGAUAUCAGAACAUGAAAUGAGUUUUAUUUCUUUUAAAAAGAAUUGUUACAGAAUAUAUCUCUUGUGAUCCUAAUGAAAACCAUUGUCAACUUGAAGUAAAGGAAGAUUUUAUAAUUUAAUAGAACAGGAAAUAAAGGAAGACUCAUUUAGAGCAUAACAAAGCACAAUGUAUAUUUCUAAUUAGUCUGUUAAUUCAGAAUAACCCAUGUGAAGGAAUUAUAUUUUACAGUAAACAACAUACAAAACACUUACAAUUUCAUGUUUUGCAAUUGGUGAAUUUUCAUGUUGUACUAAGGUAAAAUUUAUAUGACAGAUGCAUUACCUUAAAUAUUCACUGAACACAUGAAAAUCCAACAUAGCCAUUGCAAAAAUAACUUGCACUUACGUGUACAUAUGUUAUUCAUGUGAUAUUAAUAUGAAAAUCACAUCACGAUUAUGUGAAAAUAUAGACGUGAAAUAACAAAACUUUUACACGUUAAAAUAAUGUGAAAAAAUCUAAAUGUGAAAUUAACACAAUAUUUACACGUUAAAAUCACGUUUAUAAAUUUACGUGUGAAAUUAACACAAUAUUUACACGUUAAUAUCACGUUAAAAAAUUUACAUGUGAAAAUAACGUUACGUUUAAACAUGAAUAUCACGUGAGCAGAUUAAAACGUGAUUAUCACGUGAGAAUCUUGUGUGUGUCAAAUACAGGUGAUAUAAACGUUUAAACGGAGUGAUACACACGUGGAAAUAACGUAGUUUUCACGUAAUGAGCACAAACGUUAAACACACGUUGGAAAAAAUUGCCU